ACAAAAGGUGGUUUGUGAUCUUGGAGAGCCUGUUCGUUGCAAUCAAGGAACAGAAGCCAUGGUAGGGGGAUAAGGAGUCAAUAAAGUGAACGAUGUUAACAGAGACUGUAGAGAACUGUUUUUGGUACCUUGAAUUUGAAGGAGGGGUAGGGAGAGACAGAGAGAGAAUGAAUUAAAUAUCCUAUUGCUGAAUGGGUAAUAAGGGGUUAAGGAGGGAUAUUUUAAAAUCUUCAAUUCCUUUAAACUUAAGUACAUUCAAAAACUAAUGUAAAGGAGCUCUCUAAUCUCAGAUGUAACCUUGAAGUUGCCCACGUAUUUAUUUCCCUACUACCAUCUCAUUAUGGAGUUAAUGAGACACCUCCAUUGGAAUACUAUGGGCUUUGAGUGCAAUGCAGAUUUAGUUAUUAGUAAUUAAAAGUGGGAAAACUGUGUGAAAGAAAUGCUCAUAACUCUUGG
rnacentral:lncRNA from 10 species